CUCACCGGUAUGACUUGGUCUUUGUGUAUCCGCAGUAUGUCUCCAACACACACAUCCUUCCACUGAGCUGCUGUGAAGCUGCAGGACAGUUUUGGCAUUGUUAAUUCACUCAAAAUACCAGGAAUAAUGAUUGUAAGUUAAAAGGUGCACAGCUCACCCCUGGGUCGUGAGGAUAUCACAGGGUCUUCUGUUGAUCUUGGCAUCGCUGCGACGGCGACCCUGAAAUGUACACGAGAGAUCUGUGAGCAGGUCUUUGGCUCCACGCAUGAUCAGGACGGUGAGCAGCGGCAGCAUGGUGAUGUACCAGGGAAGAGUGGCAAUGAGAGGAACACACUGGACACCAGACACACAACCACACAAUAUACCAGUAAGAGACACAACACGCUGAACAUGUAAGAAGUAAAGUGAUCAUUAUAAAAUUUCUGUUGUGUCAUAACUGUUUCAACACAUAUUGUCAGACCAGACUGUGUAAUUAAAGCAUAACCUUGUGUGAAAA